GGGAUUCUUGUUCAAUUUGUCAGAGAACCGCCCUGUCAAGGCGGAAGUUGCGGGUUCAAGUUCCGUCAGUCCCG
rnacentral:tRNA from 2 species